UACGUAGGGUCCGAGCGUUGUUCGGAUUCAUUGGGCGUAAAGGGUGCGUAGGUGGCGCCGUAAGUCAGGUGUGAAAUUUCGGAGCUUAACUCCGAAACUGCAUUUGAUACUGCGGUGCUUGAGGACUGGAGAGGAGACUGGAAUUCACGGUGUAGCAGUGAAAUGCGUAGAUAUCGUGAGGAAGACCAGUGGCGAAGGCGGGUCUCUGGACAGUUCCUGACACUGAGGCACGAAGGCCAGGGGAGCAAACGGG
rnacentral:rRNA from 1 species